rnacentral:tRNA from 1 species
GCCUCGGUGGUGUAACGGCCGCAUGUAGGACUGUGGAUCCUCAGGACCGGGUCCGACUCCCGGCCGAGGCC